UGUCUUUGUUAUUUUUCGAUUAUAUUUUUGUUAUGUUUUGUUUCUAUUUUAACCAUUUUUUUCUCUUCUUUUUUUUGUUAUUUAUCUUUUCUUUAAUUUUCUGUUACCUCUCUUGUUACCUCCUUUAUUGAACUUCGUCACCUUAUUCAUGUCGCCUUUCACAAUUCACUUCCCUCUCUAUCACCUCAAAUUUACGUUCAUGUUUCCACUUUCUUAUCCUCGCAUUUUUUUUUUUCUUAUUUCCUUGUACUUUCAUUCAGUGUUUGUUAUCCUUCAUAUUAUCCAUUUAUCCAGCUAUUUAUUUUAUUUUCUUAUUCAAUGAAACAAAAUACGUACGUUUAUGUGUACGUAUGUGCGUGUACGUGUUUGAUCACUGUUUCGUAAAAAUAUCACGAAAUUUAGUUUGUGUAUUAUUGUUACUUACUUUUGAUUACUUUUUGUUGAUAUUACUGUUUGCAGUGCGCAUGUCGCGUUUUGUUUGUUUCUUACUUCACCCCGGCGCCAGCAGCCAGCACCCAGCAGCCGCCACGCAGGUCAGUUGUCUGUAGUGGCUGCUUCCGCCAGGGUGAGUGUGGUGUGGCGGCCGUGUGACAUGGCCCAUGCUGGUUCCCUGCUGUUCCUUGGUAUGUCAUGUAAAGUGGAGCUUUGUGUACAGGUGCAAUACAGACACGUGAUUUGUAGGUUGUAUUGUUUUGUUCCAUACGGCAGAUGCGGAUACGUGUUUGGUAUUGCUCCAGCCGUUCCGUGAAAAUUUGUUUGAUUGUUGUUCGCAGCUGUGGGUGGUCUGCUGCGUGUGUGUGUGUGUGUGUGUGUGUGUGUUAACACGUUGUGCCAGGCGCUGAGCUUGCGGGGAAGCUGUGUACCAUGCCUGUGUGAUGUGCCCAGGACUGUGGGCUAUUUACCGCUGCUUGGUCAAUAUUGUAAGUGAAUAUUUGUUAGGUUAGAUAAUUUUUGUGAACUUUCUAGUUUGAUGGCUGAACAUUUAGCAUUGUAUGAGUUUGGAUACUUUGAAUUUGUGGUGUUAUGCUCUGUGAUGUUGUGUUAGUUAGUUAAUUGUUCUCAGGUUGGAUCGACUUAGUAAAAUAAGUUGAAUGCAACGUUCGACCUUCUCUACCCAGCGGUUUUGACGAAACAAUCAUGUACGCAUUGAGUCUGUGCACGUGUCCAGACGCGGCAGCACAAUUGGUCCGUGUACGUAAACCCUGUAGGUGUGGACGCAGAUGAGAAAUUCUUCCAGUCCAGGGGCGUCCAAGUGGUUCCUAGCAGCUGAUCUCCAGACGGUGACCUUGUCCAGUCACCAGCAGUGCGUGACCUUCGUGGUGCACUUCAUGGGCCCCAGCGCAGGUCGUCUUGAGCUGGACUUAUCCCGCGUGCUGGCUGGCCGCAAUCUGGACCCCCCCACCAUCAUCAUCAGGGGCGUGUCCUGACCCGGACCGCCCCAAGAAGCUGCCCUACAGGACCUGCGGGAGCCUGGAGGAGGAGACACUGCUGGAGGAGUAUAAGAGCGAGUCUUGGGGAUGGGAAGGGAGAGGAGAGUACAAGGUGUAAGGGUAGAUGGGAGCACUGGAAAGGGGAGGGGAGGGGAGGUGAGUAUGGCAGUUGGGGGGAGGAAGGGCAAGAAAAUGGAAGGGAAGGAGAAAAAGGAAAAAGGAAAUGAAAGGGAGGGAAAGUAGGAGGGUGGUGGCAGGGGAUAUGGGUGGUGUUUGGGUAUUUAGUUCAGAGGUUUAGGCUGUUUGCUCAGCGUUUGUUUCCUUUAGGCAUCUCAAAUGUUCCUUUGCAGAGCACAUCCCCAAUCCCUUUGCAGAGGUUUCCUUUUGGUAUCUCAAAUGUUCUUUUGCAGAACAUAUCCCCAAUCCCUUUGCAGAGGUUUCCUUUAGGCAUCUCAAAUGUUCCUUUGCAGAACAUAUCCCCAAUCCCUUUGCAUCCCCAAUCCCUUUGCAGAGGUUUCUUCUUAUCAGGUUUUUUCUUUUGCGGCCAACACCCCGUGGGAUCUCAAGGGCGGUGUUGCCGGAGCUGGCCUCGCCUCCGCCCUGCUGCUGCCUCUGCUUCACCUCAUCGCCUGCGAUAAACCCAUCAACAUCAAGGCAUCUUGGUUUUCGCGUCCAUCCCCGCCCCCUAGUUCCUCUCACCCUGCAUAGGGGGCCUGUACAUUAUGUAGAUAGGAGGCUAUAAUUGUGUGAAAUUAUAGAUAUAUUAUGCAAUAAUUAUCUUUAUGCAUAUAUAUAAAAUGCAAUAAUGUUCGUUAUGCAUAUAUACAAAAUACAAUAAUA